ACAGCCACAUCAUGUUGAAACAUCAGUUCCCAUAAGAUCACCAAAGUUAAGCAAUGUCAUACCUGGUCCAUACUUUGAUGGGUGACCACUUGGAAAUACUAGUUGUUGUAAG